CCUACAUGAAGUCGGAGUUGCUAGUAAUCGCGGAUCAGAAUGCCGCGGUGAAUGCGUUCCCGGGUCUUGUACACACCGCCCGUCACACCAUGGAAGUUGGGGGCGCCCGAAGUUGCCUAAGAAAUAAGGUACCUAAGGCGAAACCAAUGACUGGGGUGAAGUCGUAACAAGGUACC
rnacentral:rRNA from 1 species